CCUGCCUUGUUCUCCCCCAGCACAGGCACAGGGCCUGGCAGGCACUGGGUAAAUAUUUGCUGGAUGUACAAAUUGACAAGCAAGGGAGAUCAGUAGCACCCGGGGGUGGGGAGGUUUCAUGCUGGUCUGAACCUCCCAGCGGCUGUCUGCUUCUUGAUCCCUGCUGCCUCAGCAUGGCAGGAAGUCCAGCUGGAAGCAUCCGCCAGCCUCGGGAAUGGCCUCUGCCUCUAACUGCCUCCUCACAGACACGGCCAGGAAAAAGUCCAGCAGGAAUGGUGCAGCAUCAUGGGAGCCCUCCUGUGUGCCUGUCGCUACAAGACAGGGCAUGGCCAAGAGGACAGCUUCAAGACCAAGACCCUGGGGCAGGUCUCAGUCCUGUGAAGACUCUUGGAGAGGCUGCCUCCAGUACCCAGGUUGCCGGUCCCCCGACUCCCUGACUCGUGAGGGCUCAGGACCCCACUUAUGAUUUCUUCAUAAGUCUCCAAGAUGUAAAUCCUCCUCAUAAGUAUUUAUGAUGCUGCAGAUUUAACAUAAUAAAACACUUGGCGAUUAUGGAUAAGCCAGUCGGGAAAGCCAC
rnacentral:lncRNA from 10 species